GAUGAACGCUGGCGGCGUGCUUAACACAUGCAAGUCGAACGAUGAAGCUCAGCUUGCUGGGUGGUUUAGUGGCGAACGGGUGAGUAACACGUGAGUAACCUGCCCUUAACUCUGGGAUAAGCCUGGGAAACUAGGUCUAAUACCGGAUAGGAGCGCCUACCGCAUGGUGGGUGUUGGAAAGCUUUAUCGGUUUUGGAUGGACUCGCGGCCUAUCAGCUUGUUGGUGAGGUAAUGGCUCACCACGGCGACGACGGGUAGCCGGCCUGAGAGGGUGACCGGCCACACUGGGACUGAGACACGGCCCAGACUCCUACGGGAGGAAGCAGUGGGGAAUAUUGCACAAUGGACGAAAGCCUGAUGCAGCGACGCCGCGUGAGGGAUGACGGCCUUCGGGGUGUAAACCUCUUUCAGUAGGGAAGAAGCGAAAGUGACGGUACCUGCAGAAGAAGCACCGGCUAACUACGUG
rnacentral:rRNA from 1 species